rnacentral:rRNA from 1 species
AGCGAACGCUGGCGGCAGGCCUAACACAUGCAAGUCGAACGAACUCUUCGGAGUUAGUGGCGGACGGGUGAGUAACACGUGGGAACGUGCCUUUAGGUUCGGAAUAACUCAGGGAAACUUGUGCUAAUACCGAAUGUGCCCUUCGGGGGAAAGAUUUAUCGCCUUUAGAGCGGCCCGCGUCUGAUUAGCUAGUUGGUGAGGUAAAGGCUCACCAAGGCGACGAUCAGUAGCUGGUCUGAGAGGAUGAUCAGCCACAUUGGGACUGAGACACGGCCCAAACUCCUACGGGAGGCAGCAGUGGGGAAUCUUGCGCAAUGGGCGAAAGCCUGACGCAGCCAUGCCGCGUGAAUGAUGAAGGUCUUAGGAUUGUAAAAUUCUUUCACCGGGGACGAUAAUGACGGUACACGGAGAAGAAGCCCCGGCUAACUUCGUG